rnacentral:rRNA from 1 species
GUGCCAGCAGCCGCGGUAAUACGUAGGUGGCAAGCGUUAUCCGGAAUUAUUGGGCGUAAAGCGCGCGCAGGCGGUCUCUUAAGUCUGAUGUGAAAGCCCACGGCUCAACCGUGGAGGGUCAUUGGAAACUGGGAGACUUGAGUGCAGGAGAGAAAAGUGGAAUUCCACGUGUAGCGGUGAAAUGCGUAGAGAUGUGGAGGAACACCAGUGGCGAAGGCGGCUUUUUGGCCUGUAACUGACGCUGAGGCGCGAAAGCGUGGGGAGCAAACAGGAUUAGAUACCCUGGUAGUCC